rnacentral:rRNA from 1 species
GCUUAUGGCCACACACCCUGAACACACCUGAUCUCAUCUGCUUUUAGAAGCUAAGCAGGAUUGGGUCUGGUUAGUACUUGGAUGAGAGCUCACCUGGCAAUACAAGGUGCUGUAAGGU